rnacentral:tRNA from 1 species
GGCGGCGUAGCUUAGUUGGUCAGAGCAUCCGGUUCAUACCCGGAGGGUCGUAGGUUCGACUCCUACCGCCGCCACCA